GCAUCCGUGGCGCAAUGGUAGCACGUCUGACUCCAGAUCAGAAGGUUGUGUGUUCGAUUCACUUCGGGUUCC
rfam:Ipomoea nil DNA, scaffold: scaffold2280, cultivar: Tokyo-kokei standard.